ACGAACGCUGGCGGCGUGCUUAACCCAUGCAAGUCGAACGGUGAAGCGCCUUCCUUUUUGGUGGGUGUGGAUGAGUGGCGAACGGGUGAGUAACACGUGAGUAACCUGCCCCCUUCUUCUGGAUAACCGCAUGAAAGUGUGGCUAAUACGGGAUAUUCUGGGUCUGUCGCAUGAUGGGUCUGGGAAAGAUAUUGUUUCGGUGGGGGAUGGGCUCGCGGCCUAUCAGCUUGUUGGUGGGGUGAUGGCCUACCAAGGCGGUGACGGGUAGCCGGCCUGAGAGGGUGGACGGUCACACUGGGACUGAGACACGGACCAGACUCCUACGGGAGGCAGCAGUGGGGAAUAUUGCACAAUGGGCGCAAGCCUGAUGCAGCGACGCCGCGUGAGGGAUGGAGGCCUUCGGGUUGUGAACCUCUUUCGCCAGUGAAGCAGGCCUGCCUCGUUUGUGGGUGGGUUGACGGUAGCUGGAUAAGAAGCGCCGGCUAACUACGUG
rnacentral:rRNA from 1 species